rnacentral:lncRNA from 1 species
GGAUACAGUCCAUCUUCUCCUGUUUUCACCCCAGAGAAAGGAUAUAGCCCUCUUUCUCCAUCAUACAGCCCUGCAUCGCCAAGCUAUAGUCCCACCUCACCAUCAUAUACACCUGGCUCUCCCACCUACAGUCCCACAAGCCCGAAUUACUCCCCAACAAGUCCGACUUACUCGCCUACCAGUCCAUCAUACUCACCCACAUCUCCGAGUUACAGCCCAACAUCUCCUAGCUACAGUCCUACAUCACCAAGCUACAGCCCUACAUCUCCUAGUUAUAGUCCUACAUCACCAAGUUACAGCCCCACCUCACCAGUUUAUAGCCCUACAUCUCCAGCAUACAGCCCUACAUCUCCCGCAUAUAGCCCCACAUCACCAUCUUACAGUCCAACUUCGCCAUCUUAUAGCCCUACAUCACCAUCAUACAGCCCAACAUCCCCCUCAUACAGCCCUACCUCCCCCUCAUACAGCCCUACCUCCCCCUCAUACAGCCCUACCUCCCCCUCGUACAGCCCAACAUCACCUGCAUACAGCCCUACUUCGCCAGGAUACAGCCCAACAUCAC